rnacentral:rRNA from 1 species
GACGAACGCUGGCGGCGUGCUUAACACAUGCAAGUCGAACGGAAAGGCCCUGCUUUUGUGGGGUGCUCGAGUGGCGAACGGGUGAGUAACACGUGAGUAUCCUGUCCCUGACUUAGGGAUAAAUUCAGGAAAAUGGGGCUAAUACCGGAUAUGAGCUCUUGCAGCAUGGUGGGGGUUGGAAAGUUUCGGCGGUUGGGGAUGGACUCGAGGGUUAUGGGCUAGUUGGUGGGGUAGUGGUAUACGAGGGGUUCGAAGGGUAGCCGGCCUGGGAGGUGGGCCGGCGACCAUAGGACUGCGGUACGCCCCAGACUCCAAUGGGACGCAGCGGUGGGGAGUAUUGCACAAUGGGCGGGCGCCUGAGGUAGCAACGCCGCGUGCGGGAUGACCGCCUUCGAGUUGUGAACCGCUUUCGCCGGUGACGAGGCGUUAGUGACGGUAAUGGGUAAAGAAGCACCGGCUAACUACGUG